UGGGGAAUAUUGCACAAUGGGCGCAAGCCUGAUGCAGCCAUGCCGCGUGUGUGAAGAAGGCCUUCGGGUUGUAAAGCACUUUCAGCGGGGAGGAAGGCGUUAAGGUUAAUAACCUUGGCGAUUGACGUUACCCGCAGAAGAAGCACCGGCUAACUCCGUGCCAGCAGCCGCGGUAAUACGGAGGGUGCAAGCGUUAAUCGGAAUUACUGGGCGUAAAGCGCACGCAGGCGGUCUGUCAAGUCGGAUGUGCAAUCCCCGGGCUCAACCUGGGAACUGCAUUCGAAACUGGCAGGCUGGAGUCUUGUAGAGGGGGGUAGAAUUCCAGGUGUAGCGGUGAAAUGCGUAGAGAUCUGGAGGAAUACCGGUGGCGAAGGCGGCCCCCUGGACAAAGACUGACGCUCAGGUGCGAAAGCGUGGGGAGCAAACAGG
rnacentral:rRNA from 1 species